AUGGGAUCGCAGCUGCCGCCGCCGUUUCACUUCGGCCAUCUCAUCACCAUCAAGUUGUCGUCGGACAACUACAUCUUCUGGCGCGCGCAGGUUCUUCCGCUUCUUGGGAGUCACUACCUGCUUGGCUAUGUCGACGGCUCUCUCCCUUGCCCUCCUGCGCUGGUUGACAGCGUGCACGGUCCGGUCUAUAAUCCAGCUCACCGUGUCUGGACAGGGCAGGAUCAGGCGAACCUCUCCUCCAUCCAGGGGUCGCUCUCUCCGGCCGUCACUGGGCUUGUUGUCUUCGCCAAGACGUCCCAUGAGGCGUGGACUAUUCUUGAGCGCUCGUUUGCGGCACAGUCGCAGGCUCGUGUAUCUGGGCUCCGUCGCCAACUUGGGGAGUGUCAGAAGCUUGACUCCACCGCCACUGAGUUCUACAACAAAGUCAAGGGCCUCGCCGACACGCUGGCCUCCAUUGGACAGCCCCUCAGCGACUCCGAGUUCAACUCGUUUAUUGUCAAUGGUCUUGAUGAGGAGUAUGACGCCUUAGUCGAGAUCAUCAAUGAGAGGGGCAACUCCACACCCAUGCCAGCACACGAGGUCUUUUCACGCCUCCUUCUUACUGAACAACGAGUCGAGACGCGCCGAUCCAGGGGCAACGGCGCCCUCUUGGCCAACGCCGCCACCAAGGGUGGUCGCUCUUCUUCAUCAUCCAGGGCUCCUUCGGGGCAGCCACCACCGCCCGCCUCGGCCCCUCCUCCUACUGCGACGUUGCCAGGGGCUGGCGGUCCGCGUGUGUGUCAGCUUUGUGGUCGCGAUGGGCACUGGGACUCGAAGUGUCACUGUUGGAAAUAUGCCCUAGAGGCAAUAAUAAAUUGA
rnacentral:rRNA from 1 species